UGCCGAAUGGUGGAGAACCUAAUAACCGAUGCGGCCAAACUUGUAUCGCAAAUAGGUUAAAUUGUCCAGAUGGCUGUACCUGCGUGAUCAGAAACCACAAUUCAACCGGCGUCUGUGUCGACAACAGCUUUCCAGAUUGGAAUGAGAGCGAUUCUAGACCACCGGAGUUUUAACACAUUCACCAGUACUGUAAUAAGCACCCACAAUAAAUGGUUUGCA